AUGUGCUGCACUUCCUUACCAGACAUUUAUUUUCAUUUAAAAGAGUUUUUUGCAGUGUAAACACGCCGUGUUGCUAACAAAGCACCCGUUCAUCCUCUGAAGACCUACUUUUGCCAUUGUAAAGACAAGAUUUCAGAAGACUAUUGGACCAGAAGCCACAUAUGGCUGUGGAAUGUCGAAGUGAACAGGUAGUGACACCCUUCUCUCCACGCGAGUGGCUCACCAACACAGACGUUGAUUUCAGCUUUGGAGGGUUAUCUGAACUUGGAAAGGAAAGUUUGUAGCAGGUGGGAGCUUAAAAGCUGCUCCCCGCCAUGGCUCGUCUUGGGACUCAAAGAUGGCACCUCUCGAUGUUUCUCUCAGCGCUCAAAGGUCCAGAAAAUACGGCAGCCUACCUAUGCCCGUGGUAGUUUGUGAGUACUAUCAUGCCCGUGGUAGUUUGUGAGUACUAUCAUGCCCGUGGUAGUUUGUGAGUACUAUCAUGCCCGUGGUAGUUUGUGAGUACUAUCAUGCCC